AGUGAACGCUGACGGUAGGCCUAACACAUGCAAGUCGAACGGCAGCACAGGAGAGCUUGCUCUCUGGGUGGCGAGUGGCGGACGGGUGAGGAAUACAUCGGAAUCUACUUUUUCGUGGGGGAUAACGUAGGGAAACUUACGCUAAUACCGCAUACGACCUACGGGUGAAAGCAGGGGACCUUCGGGCCUUGCGCGAUUGAAUGAGCCGAUGUCGGAUUAGCUAGUUGGCGGGGUAAAGGCCCACCAAGGCGACGAUCCGUAGCUGGUCUGAGAGGAUGAUCAGCCACACUGGAACUGAGACACGGUCCAGACUCCUACGGGAGGCAGCAGUGGGGAAUAUUGGACAAUGGGCGCAAGCCUGAUUCAGCCAUACCGCGUGGGUGAAGAAGGCCUUCGGGUUGUAAAGCCCUUUUGUUGGGAAAGAAAUCCAGCUGGCUAAUACCCGGUUGGGAUGACGGUACCCAAAGAAUAAGCACCGGCUAACUUCGUGCCAGCAGCCGCCGUAA
rnacentral:rRNA from 1 species